ACGCUCGACACCUACGGGAGGCAGCAGUGGGGAAUAUUGCACAAUGGGGGAAACCCUGAUGCAGCGACGCCGCGUGAAGGAUGAAGUAUUUCGGUAUGUAAACUUCUAUCAGCAGGGAAGAAAGUGACGGUACCUGACUAAGAAGCCCCGGCUAACUACGUGCUAGCAGCCGCGGUAAUCUGAGCGGGCUGGCAAGGC
rnacentral:rRNA from 1 species